rnacentral:rRNA from 1 species
GAUCAUGGCUCAGGAUGAACGCUAGCUACAGGCUUAACACAUGCAAGUCGAGGGGCAGCAUGGUCUUAGCUUGCUAAGGCCGAUGGCGACCGGCGCACGGGUGAGUAACGCGUAUCCAACCUGCCCUACACUCUUGGACAGCCUUCUGAAAGGGAGAUUAAUACAAGAUGUUAUCAUGAGUAAGCAUUUUCGCAUGAUUAAAGGUUUACCGGUGUAAGAUCCGGGGAUGCG